ensembl:lncRNA
UGUACAGGAAACACCACUGCAUUAAAUGCCUAAAUUAUCUGCCAACAGAAUGACAAUAUUGUUAGCAAAUAACUGUUCUGGCUCAAAUAAAUAAAUAAAUAAAUACACACACACACACACAUAUACAUACACACAUACAUACACAUAUAUGUGUUGUGUGUUGAUCGAGCAUUUUAUAGUAAUACACUUCAAAUCAUUGUCGAGUCAAUGACGAGUCAAAAUGAAUUGAUUGUUUUCUUUAAUAUCUAUAUAUACAAAUGCAUAAGACUUUAAAAACAUAAUACAGAAAAUACAUUGCCACAUUGUUCUGUUUUCUAGUUUAAACAGAGAAUAUUAUAGUUUAGGUCAAUAGAUUUCACCUGAGAUCAAGUCAAACUGUUAGAAAUAUACAACAAAAGAAAGCAGUGUACUGUAGUUAGGCCAAAUAUAGAUUAGACUGUGGAUAAUGUUUUUAGGAGAGAAGCAUAGCAGUGGGGAGAAGUUACGAUCAGUCAGACAGAGAUGCACUAGUUACCACCACAAGGGUUGAAAAUACUGCCAUUGCUCACAGAAUGACCACUGCAACAAAACCUUCACGUUACUGAACUGAGCUGUGUCCUGCCGCACACCACAAUGCAGUACUCGCCAGCAGGACAAGGAUUAGGCAUUAUACAGAAGAUUCCAGAGUAUAAAAACAUUGUCAGUGCCUGACAACUGCAUACAUAAUGUGAGUCUCACAAUACAAUCACGCAAGACAAGUUCAAAGGCACCAAAAACUCAGGAACGCACCACCUCAGCACACUGCUCACUAAAAUAUUAAAAUAUAAUAAUUACUGUACACAAGCAUAAGCAAUUCCACACAAGAGGUUGGAUAGUACUUCCUACAUGGUGAAUUAAAACACAACAGCAAUCUAGCAUCAAUUAAUAAUCAGUACACAGGAAGCAUGUGCAUCAUAUUCAUCUAAAAAUAGGAAAGGUCUACCUUUGCUGAGCAAUGAAGAACUAAAAGGAGUGGCAAGUCAGUUAAAGAACAUUUCACCUGUGCAGUUUCUUUACAACGUCUAGUUAGUGCAAUAAAAAAGUCUUUGUAGUAAUUCACUGCUUCACAAUUCAGUCAAAUCCACACUAGUAAUGCUGACAACCCAAAGAUACACACUAGUUGGUAUCAGUUUCACUACAGACACAAUACAUCUCACUUCCCAAGCACCAACGCUCCAGUUGGGUGCAAAAGUUCUGGGAUGAAAAAGGGUAAAUGUACCACUUUUUCAUACUGUAUCUGCGUUACAUGGGUUUCAUAAGAACCAAAAGGAAGACUCUAUCAGGUUCCAGAUCUGAUUAGAAGUAUGCGGUCUAUUAUAUCUGAUAGCAUUUUAGCAGAGAUGUGUUUUAAAAAAAAAAAAAAAAAAAAAAAAAAAAAGCAGUCCGUACAGGAUUUCGCAGAGUUUUUUUUUGUGAUCGUCACAGCCAAAAAUGUUUGAUUUUGCUCUGGCUUUUGUUUUCCUUCUUCAAAAUUUGUGAUGCAAGAUGUGGAGUUUCUGUGCUUUUUUGUGGAAAACUACAUUAAUUGGUGAAACUGCAAUUGCCAAAAUUGUUUUGCACGGUCUUUCAGUGAUGAAAUGAGACCUUUUAGCUCACGUUCAACGCACGUGAAUCAAAGAUGGGUUUGGCUGAAUGCACGUUGUGAUGACGUCACAUGAUGCGCCUUGGCCCAAAUCUGCGUUAAUUUUGAAAAACUGCAAGCUCCUCUGAUUAUUGCGGAGUUUACUUGAUUUUGCGUUAAUUUCUGCGAUCACAAAAUCCUGGAGGGAGUGAAAGGGCCAAGAUUGACCAAGAAUGGGCCAAGACCGGCAGGAAUAUUACAAAUAAAACGAUCCAAAAUUUGCUUGAAGAUCAUGCAAAUAGGUCAGAAAGGUGAACGAGCUAUUUUUAAAAUAUUUCACUUUCUGAACAUUAGAAUCUUAACAGUGACUAUUUUUGUUACUAGUGGUAAUGGAGGAAAAACAGUGGAAACUUCUUUAUUUACUGUGAUAAGGGUAGGCAAACUUUUGCACUCAACUCUGAGAAGUUGGUGAUAAUCACAUGUCUGGGAAAAGGUUGUGACCAGAUUCCUCAUGGAGGAAAAUUUGUACCUACAAAACAUUAAGAAUGUCCACUGAUUCUGAAAAAUUAAUGGAUUACCAAAAACGAUUCAGAUUCAAUGUAGGUUUAUUUUUUACAAUGGCAGCAGUUAAAGACUUGACGCUAGAUCAAUGUCUCCCAACCCUCCCAGACCGUCCACGCUUUUGCUCUCUCCCAACACAGCUGCCAGGUAUUGAGUGUUCUGCUCGAUUUGUGUUUGUUGUGUUAAGAGAGAGCCUAAAUGUGGACAGUCUGGAGGUUCCUAAGGAUUGAGUUGGGAAACAUGGCACUAGACCGAUGCUUAACCACUAUUCAAAGGUAGUCCAUUUGGAGAAGCUUUACACUCCCCAUCCAGUAGACAUGAUUUGACAUCACUGGGUCUCCUGAGAUUUCCCGUCAUGCUGUCCUGAAAGAAAAAUGUAACAACACUAUGGCUGCAACCCUCAUAUUCACAAGACUUCAGCACCAUAGUCUUAACACCAGAGCGGACACAUUUUCACUCCAGCUUUCUUGAUUAGCAGCUAUACAGUACUUGACCUUGAGUUUUUCCAUCUCAGAUUUAUUCUGGAAGAAGUUUUUUUUGUUGUUGUUUUUAUUUGAAUAAUCAGUAGGGUUAGUAAUUAGCCCCAAGCUGCCAGUCCUAGAAGUGUUCCAGAUAAAUCAGUAUGAGGCUGAAAAGAAUGCAUGGUGGUAUGUUUAAGUCCAAGCUAUCUUGCGUGAGAUGGCCUGUUUGAAGCAUUCAGGGUCGGUGUUUCCACCAGGUCGAAGCGUCCUCUCCAGACUCACUAAAGCAUUCUGGUGGCACUCGCGGAUGUUGACUGGGUGCUUGGCCCUGAGCAGCUCAUACGCAGCAAUCAGCCUCAUGUUGUGCUUGAUCAUGAGGUACUGGAUGACACAUGUAGGGGCGAGUGAGAAGCCAUCACGGCAGUGAACCAGCACUCGCUUUCUCUUUCCGGCCGAGGCAUCGAUGCACUCAUUGAUGGCAUCAAAGCAACGCUGGUGCAGCUCAGCUCCAUCCUCACCCAGCUCGCGUGACUCCUCCAUGUGCACUUUCAGGCGUGACCAACUGUGCUUGGUGCCUCUUGAGCAUGUGCAAGGGAUCAGGUUGAGGCAUGUCUCACCUGGCAGGCUGCUCAUGUCAAUUAUGCUGUCGAUGUUGUUCCGGCACAGCAUGCGGCCACUAUACGCUGCAUUAACGUUCCCAACGUAGAUGUAGUCUGUCACUUUGGAGAUUACAGGUUCAGAGUAGUGAAAGUGUUCCGGGCCGCUCGGUUUGGGUUCAGGUGUCUCGGGGCUAGUCUUGACACCCCCUGGUCCUGCUCUGCGGCGCAAUUUCUUGGAACCGGUGCGCGACGGAGGGUUCGAGUCAGACUCAGAGCUGCUGUUCCACGGCGGUGAGAAGAGCGAGAAACGGCUAGAGGACUUGCUCUUGCCGAGAAGCUCCACGGGACUCGAGAGGCCUGAGCUGGAGGCAGUGGUCGAGCCAGAGGCACAGAAAAGAGAGGCUCGCUCUAGAGAGCCCGUGCUGCUGGCUGCACCAGCGCUGUGGGCCUGCUCCAUCUGCACAGCAUCACACAAACAAAGGAACAGAUCGAAUCACACUACUGUAAAUCCAAGCGCACUGAUCACGUGGAACCAAAAACCACAGGCAUCGCCAUUCUAUAUGAGGAGUGGAUGUAAAAAUAGAACCGACAUUUCCACACUAUAAUGAUCUACACAUGUUUUAUGGGUGGAAUCAAAGAAAAAAAUACCACUAUCUUAGAAGUUAAAAAUGAAAUGGUGAGGUAUUCUGCUACCAAAAAUUCUACAGAAGAAAAACACUUCAAUUUCUUAAUUCUGUCAGUCAUUCAAUUUCUUAAUUCUGACCUAAAGCUUUGCAAAUUUUGCACUUCUUGUUUAAUUUUGCUGAGGUUAGCCAGCAAAACAGUGCUGAGUAUGCUUUACGUUUACACACACACACACACACACACACACACACACACACACACACACACACGCACAUAUAUAUAUAAUGUUCGGCAAGCCUACUUUUUGCUGGGAUUGCAGUCUGUUAACUAGAGACUGAAGUCAUUGUUUAAAAAAAAAAAAAAAAAAACCAUAAAACAUAAUAUUUUACACAACCCUAUUUUAUAUCAUAAGUGGACAAAUCACAGAGGACAAGAUGACUAGUAUCGGUGCAUCUCUACUUAUUACAUUAUAUUAGCCAUAAUUUUUAAUUAUCAUCAUGUUUCCGAGUAACCAAUACAUGGGACUCGGGGGCAAAUUAGAGUUUUCACUUGCCUGCUGGACUAGCUAAUGAAUGACUGAUUUGUCCUUUACUGUUAUAUACUAUUAAGUCAAAGGUAGACUGUUCUGCUGUCCACACCUGAGCUUUGAGGUUGUUCUUCCAUUCCUGUGUCUCCAGAGCUUUGAAGCGGCCAUUGCUGUCUGAGGACACUGAGAGGCAGAGAGGUCGGUGUGUCCUGGGAGGCAGCUGUGGGGUCAGUGCCACGGGAGCUGGCCGAAACCCACGCUGCUCAUUCCUACUCAUCAUCAGAUCCGGACAGGAGCCUGACAGGAGAACAAUAAAACAUAAAAUCACAAAAGUUCGAAACUACAGGACUAACAUAUUAGAGUAGAAAUUGAGGUGGUGGUGGUGGAAAGUGCCAAAACAAAGAGUUGACAUAACAGAACUAAAAUUAAUCUGCAUAGCACUACAAUAGAUGUUUUGGUCUUGCCCUUUGUUCACAUAUCAGGAAGCUAACAAUGACGAGUGCACUCUCUCUCUCUCUCUCACUGUCUAUCUCUCGCUCUUUCUUUGCGUGUGCAUGUGGCACCUGUCUCGGAGCGUUCGUGGAAAACCACGUCCAUGGGCCUGAAUCAAGGAGGACACUCAAUAAAGGAGCUGAAGGGUCUUUUUGAUCCACAGCAACAUGACACAGGCAUUAAUACUCCCACAUAGCUCACUUCAGACUGCUGCUCAAACGCUUUAUUGUUCAGCUGAUUGACAACAAGCACAUUUGAUAAGUGUGUCAUUUCAACAGCAGCGACAGCACAAUGAAUCUUUCUGUACAGCUGUAUUGUAGAUCAGCUUAUUAAAAAAAAAAAAGAA